ensembl:miRNA
GUGCCGUGAUUGGCGCAUGCAGUCCACGUCGCUGCAUGUGUCAACUACGGCUAUU